rnacentral:tRNA from 1 species
GGGGGUAUAACAGUGGCAGAAUACUUGCCCAGCAUGCAAGAGAUCCUGGGUUCAAUCCCUAGCACCCCCA